rnacentral:rRNA from 1 species
UACGGGGGGGGCAAGCGUUGUUCGGAAUUAUUGGGCGUAAAGGGCUCGUAGGCGGCCAACUAAGUCGGACGUGAAAUCCCUCGGCUUAACCGGGGAACUGCGUCCGAUACUGGAUGGCUUGAGUUCGGGAGAGGGAUGCGGAAUUCCAGGUGUAGCGGUGAAAUGCGUAGAUAUCUGGAGGAACACCGGUGGCGAAGGCGGCAUCCUGGACCGACACUGACGCUGAGGAGCGAAAGCCAGGGGAGCAAACGGG